rnacentral:tRNA from 1 species
GGCUCUGUAGCUCAGUUGGUUAGAGCAUCCGACUCAUAUUCGGAAGGUCGGUAGUUCGAAUCUACCCACUGCUACCA